rnacentral:rRNA from 1 species
GACGAACCGUGCGACCGUUGUUCGGAUUCACUGGGCUUAAAGGGCGCGUAGGCGGGCUGCCAAGUCAGGGGUGAAAGCUCCCGGCCCAACCGGGAAAGGGCCUUUGAUACUGGCGGCCUCGAGGGAGGUAGGGGCACGCGGAACUUCCGGUGGAGCGGUGAAAUGCGUAGAUAUCGGAAGGAACGCCGGUGGCGAAAGCGGCGUGCUGGACCUCUGCUGACGCUGAGGCGCGAAAGCCAGGGGAGCGAACGGG